CAUAUAAGAAAUGCGGCACAGCAAGCUCCCGCAAAUAGCCAGGUGAUAUGAUCACCUUGGAUUGGAGAACUGCGGGCUGUCUUCCUUGCAGAAGAGAAGGUUGAGAGGAGAUUUUAUAGAGGUAUUCAAAAUCGUGAGGGGCCUGGACAGAGUAGAUCUUUGGCAAGGGAUAAAUAAUUGCCAGGACAGCCAGGAGAAUUCCCUUGUUUUCUUCGAAUCGUGCCACCGGAUCUUUUACAUCCACCUGAGAAGGCAGAUUAACACUCAUCCAAAAGGCAGUGCAGUGUGAACACUGUUGGCAUCCUGUGAGUCAGCAUGCUUGGUGCAGGAGUAACAAGUGUCCAAAAGCAAAAUACUGUGGAAAUAUGAAACGAGAACAGAAAAUGCUGCAAAUGCUUAGCAGCUGCUCCUAAUCCACCCAUUCUUGAGGGUUGAAGCUACCCACACUGCCUGGGCUAAGAAGUGAGAGAUGGAAAAUCAUACAAUGAUCUUGCUUCUGAUCACUGUCCAGUAAUCCAUGUUGGAAGUGCGUACGUAUGGAUGCUAGAUAAGCACCGGAUUAGGUAUGGCUAACAUCUCCUAAAAAAGCCAAAUGCUGACAUUAAGAUGAGCUAUCAGGACUUCUUCCUGCCGAUGGAACUGUGUCUCCAGCAGGAAUUAUGUUUAACCUUAGACUGGAAUUCUAAACUAUAAGCAAUACUCUUUCCACAAUUGGCAGUUAGUGUCUGAAAACACAGGUGCAGGUGAAAGAGAUGAGGAGGCAUAUCAGGAUGCAUCAUGGGAUUACCCAGGUUUAACCAAGUUGCAGAUAUAAGUUUUAAAGUGUCUGCAGUUAAAAAAAAACUAUAAUGAAUAUGACCUCCUGGCCAGGCCUGGAAGCUAAUGACUAGCCCAUGGGUCAGUCCAUGAUGAAGCUAAAGGAAUGUGACUUUUGGAUAAAAUAACUUGAUGAAUGGUUUAUGAAUUAUUCUGUAAUAAACUGGAUUCCUUAACCUCAGAUGUGCAGAUGAAUUAGCACAGCAGCAAAAUAUCAGGAUAGAUAAGCAAAGAUUAUGUUUUGAAGUGAAUUGUGAAUGUUGUUUGUGCUAAAAGUCAGGUCAUUUCAUGAUUGUUUUAUAAAUUCAUCCAGAACUGCGGAGGUGAUGAACAGGUCAUUUCUUGUUUAUGUCGUAAACUCAUUCGUAAUUAAGGAUGUAACAAUUAGACAUACAAAAUAAGAACAUUGUGAGUUGAUGACGAGUUUCCGCAAAGAUGGUAUAAGACAGAAACUGUAACUUCAAAUUGUCUUUUAGAGCAUUUCCCUUGUGUGCACUUGUACUAAGUAAAGAACUACCGCUGAAUCUACCUACAGUCGACUCUGUGUCAAGUGUCUUCUAGAUACUCCACAACAGAGAUGUUGACUGACCUCCUGUGCGUUUUCCAGUGCUCUGCAUCUGAUAAGACGGAGGAUGCCCACUAUCAUCUUAUCAGACCCAAUAAGUCAAACUACAAUGAUAUAAACCUGCAUGUAUAAAACAAUUCCAUGUAAAGAAAUGCAGACAUGUGGGAGAGGAGGGUGCUGGGUAUACAAGGCUUUGCACGAGACAGGACUUGGGCAACUGAAUUCUGUGUUAACUGAAGUUUGUAAGUAGCAGAGGGCAGCUGACAAAGGAAGCACCUGAGAAACCAAUCCUCAAGUUAGGAAUGUCCAACCAUUUGGAGUGAGGUUUGGAUCCAGGUGAUACAACUAGUGAUAAAAGCAAAAUACUGCGGAUGCUAGAAAUCUGAAACAAUGCUGAGUUUUUCCAGCUAUUUUUGUUUUUGAUACAACUAGUGAUUGGGCUGUGUAUGAAAACUAGAGAUAAAUUUACCCAUUGCAGUAUCACCAGCUAGGAGCAUAUCAGGAAAUUUCACACACACAGCAGAUAACCUUCUGCUCCUUGUGUACCUGUUAGUGCCACUCACUCUCUCAAUCUCAGCCUCAACUGGUGCUUUGUACUUCCUGAUCAGGACUGGUCUGUUUGUUUCACCCACUAUUUUAUUAUCAAGUCUGGUAUGUGCUAUUGAACACUAUGCCUUUUCAUCAUUUUCUCUUCCAUUGCCAUCAGCAGUUCUACUGUUCUUUUUCCCCUUGGCAAUUUCUUCCUGCAGUUUACUUUGUGGCUCCAAAGUGCUACUGGUGCCAGCCAGAACACUUCCAGCUACUUCUGGCGGGAGUCUGGACAAGCCUCAGAAGUGCUGAAAUCGUGCAGAGUGGGUGGAUCAUGACAUGAAAUAGCAUUUAACACUGGUUUGGCACAUGACCUGCUGUUUCAGCUCAUGCAGGUCCAGUUAAUGCCCUCUCCUAAUCACUGGAGAAUGUUCACAAACUGAGCGGAAUCCUGUGCUUUUCCCUGUAACGUGUUUAGUAGCGGGGGGGAUUUAAUCAGGUGGAAGUGUGGUGAUCCUGCCGUCUUCCCAGCUCCACCCCAACAAAGUCAUGGCAUGAAGGCCUGUGCAUGGCCCCAGGAGUGUCCAGCUGCCACUCCUCCUCCCUUUGGGUCCCUGAGGGCCACAGCCUGACUCCUUGAGGGGAAGGAGCACCUGGAGGCUCAUCAAUGUGCCCCAUUCCCUUCUCACAUUGCCACUGCAGGAAGUCACUCAAGGCUACUGCAAUGGAGUGCAGGUCUGCAUGCAUCUCCACGUUCUGCUGGACCAGGGCCUUCAUGGCAUCCACCAUCCU